rnacentral:rRNA from 1 species
CCUACGGGGGGCAGCAGUGAGGAAUAUUGGUCAAUGGGCGCGAGCCUGAUGGAGCAACGCCGCGUGCAGGAUGAAGGCCUUCGGGUUGUAAACUGCUUUUAUAAGCGAGAAAUAUGAUGGUAACUUAUGAAUAAGGAUCGGCUAACUACGUGCCAGCAGCCGCGGUCAUACGUAGGAUCCGCGCAUUAUCCGGAGUGACUGGGUGUAAAGAGUUGCGUAGGUGGCAUAAUAAGUAGCUAGUGAAAUCUGGUGGCUCAACCAUUCAGACUAUUAGCUAAACUGUUAAGCUCGAGACCGUUAGGGGCAUCUGGAAUUUCUAGUGUAGGAGUGAAAUCCGUAGAUAUUAGAAGGAACACCAAUAGCGUAGGCAGGAUGCUGGGACGGUUCUGACACUAAGGCACGAAAGCGUAGGGAGCAAACGGGAUUAGAUACCCCUGUAGUC